UACGUAGGUGACAAGCGUUGUCCGGAUUUACUGGGCGUAAAGAGCGCGCAGGCGGUCGUUCAAGUCGAGUGUGAAAGCCCCCGGCUCAACUGGGGAGGGUCAUUCGAUACUGAUCGACUGGAAGGCAGGAGAGGGAAGCGGAAUUCCCGGUGUAGUGGUGAAAUGCGUAGAUAUUGGGAGGAACACCGGUGGCGAAGGCGGCCCCCUGGACCGGUACUGACGCUGAGGCGCGAAAGCGUGGGUAGCAAACGGG
rnacentral:rRNA from 1 species